rnacentral:rRNA from 1 species
AUUGAACGCUGGCGGCAUGCCUUACACAUGCAAGUCGAACGGUAACAGGUCUUCGGAUGCUGACGAGUGGCGAACGGGUGAGUAAUACAUCGGAACGUGCCUCGUAGUGGGGGAUAACUACUCGAAAGAGUGGCUAAUACCGCAUGAGAGCUACGGAUGAAAGCAGGGGAUCGCAAGACCUUGUGCUCCUAUAGCGGCCGAUGGCAGAUUAGGUAUUUGGUGGGCUAAAAGCUUACCAAGCCGACGAUCUGUAGGUGGUCUGAAAGUACGAUCAGCCACACUGGGACUGAGACACGGCCCAUACUCCUACGGGAGGCAGCAGUGGGGAAGUUUGGACAAUGGGCGAAAGCCUGAUCCAGCAAUGCCGCGUGCAGGAUGAAGGCCUUCGGGUUGUAAACUGCUUUUGUACGGAACGAAAAGCCCCGGGUUAAUACCCUGGGGUCAUGACGGUACCGUAAGAAUAAGCACCGGCUAACUACGUGCCAGCCGCCGCGGUAA